AACGAACGCUGGCGGCAUGCCUAACACAUGCAAGUCGAACGAAGUCUUCGGACUUAGUGGCGCACGGGUGCGUAACGCGUGGGAAUCUGCCCUUGGGUACGGAAUAACUCAGAGAAAUUUGUGCUAAUACCGUAUAAUGUCUUCGGACCAAAGAUUUAUCGCCCAAGGAUGAGCCCGCGUAAGAUUAGCUAGUUGGUGGGGUAAAAGCCUACCAAGGCGACGAUCUUUAGCUGGUCUGAGAGGAUGAUCAGCCACACUGGGACUGAGACACGGCCCAGACUCCUACGGGAGGCAGCAGUGGGGAAUAUUGGACAAUGGGCGAAAGCCUGAUCCAGCAAUGCCGCGUGAGUGGUGAAGGCCUUAGGGUUGUAAAGCUCUUUUACCAGGGAUGAUAGUGACAGUACCUGGAGAAUAAGCUCCGGCUAACUCCGUGCCAGCCGCCGCAGUAAGAC
rnacentral:rRNA from 1 species